rnacentral:pre_miRNA from 1 species
UGCUGGAAAGCAGAGGAAGACUUUUGAUAUGUGCAUAGAUUCCGCUUCUCUCCGGUGAU